rnacentral:rRNA from 1 species
UACGUAGGUGGCAAGCGUUUGUCCGGGAUUUACUGGGCGUAAAGAGCGCGCAGGCGGUCAAGUAAGUCGAAUGUGAAAGCCCCCCGGCUCAACUGGGGAGGUCAUUCGAUACUGCUCGACUUGAAGGCAGGAGAGGGCAGCAGAAUUCCCGGUGUAGUGGUGAAAUGCGUUAGAUAUCGGGAGGAACACCUGUGGCGAAAGCGGCGCACUGGACCAUACUGACGUGAGGCGCGAAAGCUAGGGGGAGCAAACAGG